GACAGAGGUGCCAAGCGUUAGGCGGAAUCACUGGGCUUAAAGCGUGUGUAGGCGGAUGCCUAAGUACCUUGUGAAAUCCCCCGGCUCAACCGGGGAACUGCUGGGUAUACUGGGUGUCUUGGGUCAUCUAGGGGCUGCCGGAACAAAUGGUGGAGCGGUGAAGUGCGUAGAUAUCAUUUGGAACGCCAACGGCGAAAGCAGGCAGCUGGGGAUGCACCGACGCUGAGACACGAAAGCCAGGGGAGCGAACGGG
rnacentral:rRNA from 1 species